GACACUCAACCACUGAGCCAUGCCAGCCAGGCUCUUCCUUUUUUUUUUAAAUACUGGUUAUGUAAACAACAAAUGUUUUCGUAGCCUCCCUAAUUUCCAGCUCUAGAAUUAACUUCUGAACAAGCUACGGUUGUCCGCAUGGAAACUUAGCAUAAUUGUCAUUGGGAAAUCCCACUUGCUUAGCAUAAAAAAUUCUAGUUAAAAUAACUAUUAAGUAAAAUGCACUUUUGGGUAUAGUGCAGAAAUAUGAAAACUGUUCAGGCAAGACUACUAAGAUAGCAAAAGCAUGGACUUUGCUACUUCCUCUAGAGAUGUUCCAAAUUGUAACAGAGUCCCUCAGUGUUAAUCCUUAACAGAAGCAGGUGCUGAGCAUUUGCGAGAAGGAUGUGCCAUCUUUCUGCAGUUCGCUCCUAACAGCUUUCAGCUUUCUAAAGUCGCCUGGUAGCUUUACCACUAUAUUGUUCUUUCCCCCUAAGUGGAUUCCUGGUUAAGGGGGGAGGGCAUCUCAGGAGACUGACAGUUCGUCUUCCUGGGAGAAUGUGGGUCCUUCUAUCGAAGGACAGGUCAGGUGGCACCGGGAGUUGGGUAAUGAGUGCCAGACAUAAAGCUGGGUCCCACGGUGGGGAUGGAGGACGGAAGGACCUUCCCUGUUGUUGUCUUGGGACAGUGUGGAGAGUCCUAGGCCCUGAUUGAAACAGACCAAAUGGGUACAGACGAUCCUAGGCACGUGAGAAGACCCUCCACUCAUCACCAUCAGGGAAGUGCAGAUCGAAGGCACACCGAGAGACCAGCUCCUUCCCACGCGGAUGGCUGCAAUAACAAAUAAGGACGACAGCAGCUGGUGGCUGUUCCUGCUGUGACUUUGCUUCUAGAAGGUAGCGCUGCUUCAUUUCCUGCGUGUCUCUACACUGUGACCGACAAGCCUACAGGCCCUCCUUCAGACACGGGCAGAGUGUGGUCACCUCAGCUCCAAGCAGCCUGUCUUUCUGACCACUCAGCUCACCAACUCAACCUGUACUUUUCCAUUCUGCCCCGAGAGAAUUCUUCCAACCUGUACUGGAAUUAAAUCCUAAAUAUAUGAAUAGCCAAGACAGUUCAGUAAUAAUGUUCAUAGCUAACAGUUACUGAGCUCCUACUGUGUGUCAAACACUGGUCUAGGCACUCUAUAGGAGUGACCUGUUUCACCCUCUCAACACUGAUACAACCCUAUUUCACCGAUUCUAAGAUAUGAAUUAUUUUUCACAUUUUAACAUCUCCAAGAUCUUAUAAUAAAUAGGACGUUUAGUUUCAUUG